AGAGUUUGAUCAUGGCUCAGAUUGAACGCUGGCGGCAUGCCUUACACAUGCAAGUCGAACGGCAGCACGGGUGCUUGCACCUGGUGGCGAGUGGCGAACGGGUGAGUAAUACAUCGGAACGUACCUUAUCGUGGGGGAUAACGCAGCGAAAGCUGUGCUAAUACCGCAUACGCCCUGAGGGGGAAAGCGGGGGAUCGAAAGACCUCGCGCGAUUAGAGCGGCCGAUGCCUGAUUAGCUUGUUGGUGGGGUAAAAGCCCACCAAGGCGACGAUCAGUAGCUGGUCUGAGAGGACGAUCAGCCACACUGGGACUGAGACACGGCCCAGACUCCUACGGGAGGCAGCAGUGGGGAAUUUUGGACAAUGGGGGAAACCCUGAUCCAGCAAUGCCGCGUGAGUGAAGAAGGCCUUCGGGUUGUAAAGCUCUUUUGUCAGGGAAGAAACACCGGCUCUAACACAGUCCGGGAAUGACGGUACCUGAAGAAUAAGCACCGGCUAACUACGUGCCAGCAGCCCGCGGUAAUACGUAGGGUGCGAGCGUUACUCGGAAUUACUGGGCGUAAAGCGUGCGCAGGCGGUUAUACAAGACAGGCGUGAAAUCCCCGGGCUUAUCCUGGGAAUGGCGCCUGUGACUGUAUAGCUAGAGUGUGUCGGAGGGGGGUAGAAUUCCACGUGUAGCAGUGAAAUGCGUAGAUAUGUGGAGGAAUACCAAUGGCGAAGGCAGCCCCCUGGGAUAACACUGACGCUCAUGC
rnacentral:rRNA from 1 species